GGCCCAUAAUAAAAAAUCUAAGUAAAUAUUCAGAUUCAGCAUAUUAAAGAACACCAAGAAUUUAAAUAUUGUUAAAAUCAAAAUAAGAUUUUGGACCCUUUGGACCUUAAGGUAGACCAAUUUAAACAGGACCAAAAAAAUUAAGAAUCUAAAUACACAGUUAGAUUUGGCAUAUCAAAGAACCCCAAUAAUUCAAUUUUCUAUAAAAUCAAACAAAGUUUAAUUUUGGACCCUUUUGGCCCCUAAUUCCUAAACUCUGGACAAAAACUCCCAAAAUAAAUCCCAACCUUCCUUUUUGUGGUCACAAACCUUGUGUUUGAAUUUCAUAGAUUUCUAUUAACUUAUACUAAAGUAAUUAUGCGAAAACGAAAUGUCUUCGGACGACGACGACUACAUGAUACCAAUAUAUGAUCGCAAAAAACUUUUUGCAGUUGUAUAAAAACUGCAAUGUUUCCUUAAAAUUACCAAUCUAGUGGCAGCAACCCAACAAUGGGUUGUUACAUUUGUCUGAAAAUUUAUUGUUGAUAGAACUUCACC
rnacentral:lncRNA from 1 species